CAAUGCAAGUCGAGGGGUAUAAGUCUUCGGAUUUAGAGACCGGCGCACGGGUGCGUAACGCGUAUGCAAUCUACCUUUCACAAAGGGAUAGCCCAGAGAAAUUUGGAUUAAUACCUUAUAGUAUAAUUGAAUGGCAUCAUUUAAUUAUUAAAGAUUUAUCGGUGAAAGAUGAGCAUGCGUCCCAUUAGCUAGUUGGUAUGGAACGGCAUACCAAGGCUACGAUGGGUAGGGGUCCUGAGAGGGAGAUCCCCCACACUGGUACUGAGACACGGACCAGACUCCUACGGGAGGCAGCAGUGAGGAAUAUUGGACAAUGGGCGCAAGCCUGAUCCAGCCAUGCCGCGUGCAGGAUGACGGUCCUAUGGAUUGUAAACUGCUUUUGCACAGGAAGAAACACUCGGACGUGUCCGAGCUUGACGGUACUGUGAGAAUAAGGAUCGGCUAACUCCGUGCCAGAGCCGCGGUAAUACGGAGGAUCCAAGCGUUAUCCGGAAUCAUUGGGUUUAAAGGGUCCGUAGGCGGUCUUAUAAGUCAGUGGUGAAAUCUCCCCGCUCAACGGGGAAACGGCCAUUGAUACUGUAAGACUUGAAAUAUUAGGAAGUAACUAGAAUAUGUAGUGUAGCGGUGAAAUGCUUAGAGAUUACAUGGAAUACCAAUUGCGAAGGCAGGUUACUACUAAUGGAUUGACGCUGAUGAUUGA
rnacentral:rRNA from 1 species